rnacentral:ncRNA from 1 species
GUUUGUACGGAUCCUUUACCGAAUGAAGGGGUUCCAAUCAACACGGCGCGCUCGUGGUCUUGUAAUGCCCCGGCAACAAUUUCCGCCGCCGAUGCUGAGCCGCCAUUAAUGAGAACCACAAUGGGCUCAUUAGCCAGGACUGUGGCAUUUGUUGCUUCAUACUUCGAGUCUAAAAACUCAUCACGACCCUUUGUACUAACAAUCAAGCCUUCGUCGAUAAAAGCAUCAGUAACCUCAAUAGCAGCAGAUAAGACGCCGCCUGGAUUGUUU